UUUUCUCAUGAAAUAACGAAAAAAAAAUAUGUAAAAGAAUAUUAACAUAUAAGAGACUUCAAUCCAGAGUCAAAAUUUUUUCCCCCCAUUUAAAUGUAAAAGUGGUAACCCGCUCAAUUAGCUUCAUUUAGUCUCUAGCAAUGCUUGUAUUGCUUCAUUCUGGAUUCUUUUGUUGUCUCAUGAAACACCUGUCACACAUACGAGGGGCUACGAAUUACGUACUUUUCUUUGAAAAAUUAUACCACCUAAACAAGAUAUAUAAUGUCAUAUAUAUGUUCAAAUCCUUAUAAUUAGUAUGAAACAAUUAAUCGUACAAUAUAUACUUAAUGUUUUUGGUGUUACAUGUUUGUAUAUGUUUAGUCUGGGGACUAGAGUAUGAGUGACAUGACAUGUAUACAUGUUUAUACCUGGAGUAUAUAUUUUACUUUCAGUGCAGGGAACAAUGGAUACUAUCUUGGGGUUGGAAGUUCCAGGUCAGAUUACAUGCAAAUGAUUCAAGGCACGUUGAAGGAAUCACAAUGUGUGGUAGGCAUGCUGAUCUUGAAGUAGUUUUAAAACCAGUCCCCAUUUAUAUCAUCAGCCAUGAAUCUCAACUUCCAGCCACAUUUCUCUACCCUUCUCCAAAAAAUGAGAUGGUUGUUGGACUUGACUGCGAGGGUGUUGACCUCUGUAGAUAUGGAACUCUCUGUAUUGUGCAGCUUGCUUUUCCGGACGCUAUCUACUUGGUUGAUGCAAUACGCGGUGGGAGAAAGUUGAUUAACGCUUGUAAGCCUGCUCUUGAGUCUGUUUAUGUCACAAAAGUUAUUCACGACUGCAAACGGGAUAGUGAGGCAUUAUUCUAUCAGUUUGGUAUCAAGUUGCACAAUGUUAUGGAUACCCAGAUAGCUUAUUAUCUGAUUGAGGAACAGUUGGGGAAGAAGAGCUCACAAGCUGGCCAUAUCUCUUUUGUGCGCCUUCUUGCAGAUCCACGUUAUUGUGGUAUAUCAUACGUGGAGAAAAAAGAAGUCCGUUCCCUUCUGAAGGAGGAUCCUCAGUUUUGGACCUACCGACCAUUAUCUGAGCUGAUGGUCCGUGCAGCUGCUGAUGAUGUUCGAUUUCUUCCAUACGUAUUCCAUAGGAUGAUGGAGAAAUUGAGUGAAGAAUCAUUGUGGAGACUUGCAGUUCGUGGUUCACUUUGUUGUCGGUGUUUCUGCAUAAGUGACAAUGAAUAUGCUGAUUGGCCAGCAAUCCCUUCUAUUCCAGUCUUGUCAGAGUUCCUCAAUGUGGAAAGAGAAACUUUAGAAGACGAGAUCUUGUCCAUACUUGAUGUGCCACCCGGGAAAAUGGGAUGCGUCAUUGGUAGAAAAGGAUCCUCAAUUUUGUCAAUCAAAGAAUCAUGCAAAUAGUGCUUAUUUUAAAGAAUUGAAGUGUUUGGCCAAGCUUUUAUGUAAAAAAUAGUGCUUUUGAGCAGUAGCAAUAGCUUUUUCCUUAGAAGCACUUUUUGAACCUUGGUCAGGGCAGAAAUCCUAAUCAGUGGAUCGAAGGGAGCGCCAGACAAGGUUUUCAUCAUUGGACCCCUGAAGCAGGUAAGGAAAGCAGAAGCCAUGUUGAGGGGCCGGAUGUUGUGACUUGUGAGACAAUCCUUUUGCUGCACCUGGAAGCCAGAGCUUUGCAUUCAGAUUACCCGAUCCUCACACUAAAAAAUCUUUCCUUUUUGCUAAUAUACAAACCCUGCUCUGCUAUAUGCCAAUUCAUCUCAUAUUGGUCGCGGUUCUAAAUCAAUGCAUCUAUUAUUGAAAUUAAAUUGGUACUUGUUUGCACUAAAAUUUUGAAUGUAUUUUAGCGCCUAAUACUUGUCUUAAGUGGACGAGGUCAAUUGUGAACUUGAUUGGUGGAGUGGUCUUGGGGGGUCAUUGUCAUGCCCACGGGGUGGCCAGCUUGGGAAUUUUGAGAAUGAUACUAGAUAGGAGUGGACUAUAAAAAUCUAGUUGUAAUUUUUGUAGUGGGAGCCAUGGGGGGAUAGUUCUAGAAAAUGUGGAGAAAGUGACAAAGGGAUAAAAGCUAGCCCCCCCUUCUUUCACAGUUCACAUGACCACACGGUGACUUUGGGGGAUUGCGGACAAAAGAGGUCGUUGGUGGGGCUUAAGGCCAUUGAAUUUGAAACAGAGUCACUGUACAAUGUAUGUGCAGCAAAUGUUUCUUCAAAUAUUAAGAAACCUCUUUAAUGCUGAAAUGAUUUGAUGUUGGCUUUU